ACAUCUCUUCUAAUUUUUCUUAUUACUUAUUUAUUUUUGAGAUAAGGUUUCUCUGUAUAGUCCUGGAACUCGCUAUGUAGACCAGGCUGGCCUUGAAGUCAUGGAGAUUUCACCUGUCUCUGCCCUCUGGAGUAUUAGAAUUAAAGACAUGAACCACCAUGCCCAGCUCUUAUAAUUUUUAAAGUUACAGUCCAUGUUUUCUUUUAUAAAGCUAAUAAAAAGAAUAAAAAAUCGGCAGACAUUCAGCUUUGUUUUUUUUUCACAAUUGUUUUUGUUUAUUUUUCCUAUUCCAAAAUUUCUAAGUUGUUUUUAGCAUUGGACUAUGUAAGUAUAUAGAAGAACUUUUAAUUAAAAUAUUUUUUGUCUCAGAUGAUUAGUUUUUCAUAAUACUUUAAUUUUUUAAUUAGAUGAAGAAUUAACAAAAUCAAAGCCGUCUUCUCUACCCACUGAGAAAGGGACCAAUGAUUUACUUGCUUGGGAUCCCCUGUUCGGAUCGUCGCUUGAGUCAUCUUCAGCUCCACUAACUUCGUCAUCAUCGGGUAAAAAAAAGAACCCUGAUAAAAUAAAAUAUAUGUAUAUAAGCGAUGUCUUAUUUUUGGGAAUAUAGUAGCAGCAUUUUCCCCCGAAUGAUACUAUUUAUUAUGUUUAAUCAUCUGUAGCUUUUCUUCUUAAGUUUGUCAUCCAGUAAUAGUGAGUUCCAUCACUACUACCACUGUAAAAGAUGGAGCCCCAGAACACUUAAGAAUGGAAAUCAUCAGAACCAUCUCUCUUCUGUCAGCGGCUUCUAAAGCACUGUCUAUGGAGCUAUGUGCAGAUGCAAUAUUCAUUUAUAAACACUAGUACUAAUAAAGAUUCUUACUAGUUUUUUAAAUAAAGGAAUUCUGAUUAUUGGAAAGAAUUGAAUUUCAUACUUUACAUGACUUGGCUUAAGUCCAUUUGAAAUGCCACUUGGACAGGCUUCCUGGUGAGUAACUCAUGUGUAAAGGCCUCUGCUGUGGCAAGCCCAUUAACAAGCUUGAUGUGUUGAGUCUAGUUCAGUGCUAGUUCCACAGAUAUGACCAUAUCUUUAAAAUACUACUUAAUAGCACAGGCAAGUGUUGUAGCCAUUCAGGGUGGUAUACAUUUCUUCAGAAUAUACUGUCAAAUGCAGGGACAGGGACAUCAUGAAAAGACUGGUAUCAUUUGGAAGAAGGCAGCAGCCUCUGAAUCCAGAUUUGAUAUUUUACCAGCUUUUGGCUGCCUUCUUUAAAUGUGAAUGAAUACAUACUUUCAGAUGUGAUGUGCUUUCUAAUAAUUCCUUCUGUGGGUUUAUUUUCCAUCCUGUGAGUGCCUUUUCUUUUGCUUUCUUCCUACUUGCCUUCAGUGACUACCAAGGACCCUUAGCUUUGGAUUUUAUUUUCUCAUGCAUUUACGUAGGCUGGUAUUUACAUGUUUUGAAUUUUAUACAUUUGUAAAUAUAGAGAAUUCGCCAAAUAUAUUUUUCUACUCACUAUAUUUUUUAAUGUUUGAAUUAUAGUACAUAGUUUUUAGUGGAUCAAAGGUUUUGAAAAUCAUUCUAUUUGGAAAUAAUUUAAGGGCCAGUGCGAUGACUCAUCAGGUGGCACUGUGGUCAAGCUUAUGACCUGAGUUUCAUCUCUGGCGCCCAUAUGGUAGAAGAGAGCUGAUUCCCACACCUUGUCCUCAAACUUAGUUGGGGUUUCAUUGCUGUGAAGAGUCACCAUGACCAACGCAGCUCUUACAAAGCAAAGCAUUUAAUUGGGGCUGGCUUACAGGUUCAGAGCUUUAGUCCAUUAUCAUGGCAAGAGAGAUGGUAGUGUACAGGCAGACAUGAUGGAGGAGCCGAGAGGAUUAGAUUACAUCCUAACCCACAGGCAGCAGAAGGAGACAAUACCACACUGGGCAUAACUUUAUCAUAGGAGACCUUAAUGCUCACCCCCACAGUGACACACUUCCUCCAACAAGGUCACACCUACACCUAAUAGUGCUAGUUCCUGUGGGUCAAGCAUUCAAACACAUGAGUCUACAGGAGCCAUUCCUAUUUAACCCACCAUAUGCACACACUCAAAACUAAAUUAAUAAUCUUAUAAAGAGUGUUUAAGUAUCUGGUUCUGUAAUUCAUUCCUGCUUUGAUUUUUUUUUUUUUAUACACACACACACACACACAUUUGACUUUUGUUGAUAUGCAUUUAAAAUUUAUUUAAUAUGAUAAAGGUAGUUAAGUAGGGAUACUGCUUUUCAAAAUUAUUAAAUGUUACAAAUGGCAUUGACAGACAACACUAAAUUCAUACAGGAUUUAAGAAGAAUGAAAAUAUAAAAAAUGAGUUUUACUAUUUUGGGGUAAUACUUUUAGCAAAUUAAUAAAGUAAUUGUUUAAUUAUUAUGGGUAAUAUUUCAAUGUAGCUCUACUUAAGUCAGAUCACAGAGUUUAAUUAAGGUUAAAUGUGUUAAUUGGCAUUCGCAUUAUUCUGCAGGCACAGCUGCAAAGCCUUGAUCUCACAUUUGGCUCUGUGAAUUAGAUAUGUUGAUAGUAAACCAAAGAUAUUUGAACUUGAAUUAGUUUAGUAUUAUCAACUGAUCUAUCAGAUUUAAUUUUUAUAUAUGUUUUAAAAGUUGUAAAAGGAAUAAAAUUUCUGUGUGCAUCAGUUUUGUUGAAAGAUUUAAUUACUGUUUUGAGGAUUAUUGUGAAUAUCAGCAGUACCUUUGAUAAAAGAAUAUUUGAUGGAUAGAGCCUCAGUGUUUCAACAAAUAUCCUUGAGUAUAUUAGCACUAGAUCUUUGAAUUGUCUUGUCUUUAUCUAAGGAUUGCUACACACUGAUGAUUUUCUUAAAAUUCCCUUCUCUCUCCCAUCAGCCAGACCCACGACACCUCUCUCUUUAGGCACCCUUGUUCCACCUCCAAGGCCUGCUUCCAGACCAAAGCUUGCUUCAGGAAAACUGAGUGGGAUCAAUGAAAUAGUAUGUACUCAAGGUUUUUUAUAAAAUUACAUAACUGUGUUCAGUCCUUUAUUUGUUUUUGAGACAGGGUCUCAGUGUGUGGCCCUGGCUGUCCUGGAGCUCAUCAUGUAGACUAGGCUGCCUCAGACUCAACAAAGAUCCAUCUGCCUCUGCCUUUCAGGUGCUGAGAUAGAAAGGAUUAAACUGGGCUCUAAAAAUUAUAUCAUUAUCUUGACUUAGGAUCUUUCUAUAUGCCCAUGCAUAGUCAAAUGCUUUUUUCUAAACCUC
rnacentral:lncRNA from 1 species